rnacentral:rRNA from 1 species
AAACGCUUGAAGUCAGUCGCGUUGGCUGAGAAUCAACCUUGCUUUGCUUGGUGUACUUCUUAGUCGACGGGUCAGCAUCAGUUUUGACCAUUGGAUAAAGGUAGAUUGAAUGUGGCAUCCUCGGAUGUGUUAUAGCUUUUUACCGUAUACAGUGGUUGGGACUGAGG